CUUGGUCAUUUAGAGGAAGUAAAAGUCGUAACAAGGUCUCCGUAGGUGAACCUGCGGAGGGAUCAUUACUGAGUUUUUAACUCUCCAAACCAUGUGAACUUACCACUGUUGCCUCGGUGGUCGGUGCUGGAAACAGUGCUGCCACCGGUGGACUACUAAACUCUUGUUAAUUUUUGUCAAAUCUGAAUCAAAACUAAGAAAUAAGUUAAAACUUUCAACAACGGAUCUCUUGGUUCUGGCAUCGAUGAAGAACGCAGCGAAAUGCGAUAAGUAAUGUGAAUUGCAGAAUUCAGUGAAUCAUCGAAUCUUUGAACGCACAUUGCGCCCAUUAGUAUUCUAGUGGGCAUGCCUGUUCGAGCGUCAUUUCAACCCUUAAGCCUAGCUUAGUGUUGGGAGACUGCCUAAUACGCAGCUCCUCAAAACCAGUGGCGGAGUCUGUUCGUGCUCUGAGCGUAGUAAUUUUUUAUCUCGCUUCUGCAAGCCGGCCAGACGACAGCCAUAAACCGCACCCUCUCGGGGGGCACUUUUUUAAUGGUUGACCUCGGAUCAGGUAGGAAUACCCGCUGAACUUAAGCAUAUCAAUAAGCGGAGGAAAAGAAACCAACAGGGAUUGCCCUAGUAACGGCGAGUGAAGCGGCAACAGCUCAAAUUUGAAAUCUGGCCUUCUGGUCCGAAUUGUAAUUUGUAGAGGAUGCUUUUGGUUAGGUACCUUUCGAGUUCCUUGGAACAGGACGCCUUAGAGGGUGAGAGCCCCGUACGAUUGGAUACCGAGCCUCUGUAAAGCUCCUUCGACGAGUCGAGUUGUUUGGGAAU
rnacentral:sRNA from 1 species